rnacentral:rRNA from 1 species
GUGCACCAGUCGCGAAUCCUCCGCAAUGCGCGAAAGCGCGACGGGGCCACCCCGAGUGCCGCCCGCUGAGGGCGGCUUUUCCCCGGUGUAGACAGCCGGGGGAAGUAAGGGGAGGGGCAAGUCUGGUGGUCAGCCGCCGCGGUAAUACCAGCUCCCCGAGUGGUGGGGACGAUUAUUGGGCCUAAAGCGUCCGUAGCCGGCCCGGCAAGUCUCCCGUUAAAUCCAGCGAUCUAAUCGCUGGACUGCGGGAGAUACUGUCGGG